GCAGCAACGCCGCGUGAAGGAUGAAGGCCUUCGGGUCGUAAACUUCUUUUCUGGGGGAAGAGGAAGGACGGUACCCCAGGAAUAAGACACGGCUAACUCCGUGCCAGCAGCCGCGGUAAUACGGAGGGGGCCAGCGUUACUCGGAAUCACUGGGCGUAAAGGGCGCGUAGGCGGGGGUGAAAGUCGGAUGUUAAAGACCACAGCUUAACUGUGGAAGAGCAUCCGAAACUUCAUCCCUUGGGGCCGGGAGAGGCCGGUGGAAUUUCCGGUGUAGCGGUGAAAUGCGCAGAUAUCGGAAGGAACACCAGAGGCGAAGGCGACCGGCUAGACCGAGCCCGACGCUGAGGCGCGAAAGCCAGGGGAGCGAACCGGAUUAGAGACCCGGGUAGUCCUGGCUGUAAACGAUGGACACUAGGCGUGGGGGCGUUGAGCCUCUGUGCCGUAGCUAACGCGUUAAGUGUCCCGCCUGGGGAGUACGCCCGCAAGGGUGAAACUCAAAGGAAUUGACGGGGGCCCGCACAAGCGGUGGAGCACGUGGUUUAAUUCGAUGCAACGCGAAGAACCUUACCUGGGUUCGAACGGCUGAACGACCGGGGCAGAGAUGUCCCUUUCCUGGGUUUCCCAGGACGGUCAGCCGAGGUGCUGCACGGCUGUCGUCAGCUCGUGCCGUGAGGUGUCGGGUUAAGUCCCGCAACGAGCGCAACCCUCGCCCUUAGUUGC
rnacentral:rRNA from 1 species